rnacentral:lncRNA from 10 species
AGAUUAGUGUACUCUUAUUUUAAAAAAAGGCUUAAGGGAGGUUGUUUGCCACUUCCAUCAUGUGAGGAUACACUAAGAAGGUGCCAUCUAUGAGCCAGGAAACAAGCUCUUAGCAGACACUAAAUCUGCUACCCCUUGAUCUUGGACUUCCCAGUCUUGAGAACUCUGAGAGAUAAAUUUCUGUUGUUUAUAACCUACCCUGGUUUAUCGUAUUUCUUUAGAGAAGCCCAAAUGAACUAUGACAACUUUUCAUUGAAAUGUUGCUCUUUCUUUUCUUCUCCCUUAAUUCCUGGAGUUUCAAGUGUUUUGUUUCAGAAACAAUUUCCCUUCUAUCUAAAAACCUUCCUUUAGAAAUUCUUUUAAAGCAUGACUGAUAGAUACAAGUUCUUUCAGUUUUCUUUCAUCUGAGGACAUUUUUAAUUUUAUAUCUAAAUGAAAUAUCCUAUCUAAAUGAAAUAUCCUUCAGUAGUGAGAAUUUCACUACUGAAGGAUAUUUCAUUUAGAUAUAAAAUUCUGGAUUAAACAUAAUAAAACAUUUUCUUAAUUAGGAAUUGACAGUUUUUUCUUUCAGCAUUUCUUCUUGUCUGCCAUGAUUUCUGAUGAGAAGUAUUGAAGUUUCUAAAUCAUUCUUCCCCUAUAGUUAAUGUGUCACUUUUCUUUGGCUGCUUUAAGCACUUUUUCUUCGUCUUCGGUUUUCAGCAGUUUUAUUAUGAUAUGUCUGUGCAUAGAUUUCUUUGAGUUUAUCCUAUUUGGGAUUUGCUUCACUUCUUUUAUACAUUUUCUAAAAAAUAAAGUUUGGAAGAUUUCUGUCAUUAUUUUUUAUUUUUUUCAUCAUUACCCUAUCUUUCUGAAACUCCAGUGGCAUGGUUAGAUCUUCAGGUAUCAUCCUGUUGGUCCUUGAGAUUUUGUUCUUUUGUAAGUUGUUUUCUUUGUCUUGUUUCGGUUAAAUGAGUUUUUUCUCCUGAUCCGUCUUCAAGUUCACUGACUCUGUGCUCCGUUAUCUCCAUCCUGCUGUUGAACUCAGUGAGAUUUUUAUUGGAGGAUAGAAGAAGGUGUUUAUUGUAUUUUCCCAUCCUAAAAUUUCAGUUUGGUUCUUUAUAUCUUUGAUUUCUUUGCUAAAGCUUUUUGUUUAACCUUUGUUGCAAGAGUGUUCACAAUUGCUUCUGGAAACAUUUGUAUAAUAGCUACUUUAAAGUCUUUGUCAGCUAAUUCCAACAUCUAUUGUCAUCUCAGCUUUGCUGUCUGUUGAUUGUCUUUUCUCAUGUGAAUUGAAAUGUUUGUGCUUCUUUCUAUGCUGAGUCAUUUUUGACAUUUUGUGAAUUACUUCAAGAUUCUUUGGAGUCUUGUUUAAAUUCUACGCAGAUUGUUAAUAUUUUGUUUCAGUAGGUUUGGGCCACAAGUUUUUGUUUGUUUGUUUCUUUUUUUGAGAUGGAGUUUCACUCUUGUUGCCCAGGCUAGAGUGCAGUGGCAUGAUCUCUUUGUGAGGCUAGUCUUGAAGUCCUGACCUCAAGUGAUCCACCCUCCUCAGCCUCCCACAAGUUCUAACCCACCCCCUAUAGACUGUGGUUCCAGUGUUAGUUCAGUGUUCCAAACCUUUGUUGUGCUGUUUGCUCUCUCCUGGGUAUGCACUCCACAGUGUUCAGUCUGGGACCUAGACUAUCUGUUAGUUCAGUGCUCAUAGAUCUUUGAUGUGCUGUUUGGGGUCAGAUCUAUGCAUAUGCAGGUUACAUGAAAGUCCUAUCAUUCCUAAAGGACUUUCUUGGGUCACUUUUCUGAGCUCCUUUCUCUCCACAGUCUCCCCAGUACUUUGGCUUCCUGUGGCUUCAUUUUUUGGUGGGCUGUCUCAUGAAAUUACUCUUGUCAAACUCUGUAAUGCAUUUCUAUGAUGGAGCACACAUUCUCGCUCUACUGGAGCAAGGACUGAAAGAUAUAAAAAGCAAUGGCAUUUGCCCCAUCCUUUUGAAAAUGCAGCUACACCCGAUGGCAUCAAAGGUGCUCCUCCCUGAGAGCUAUGGUUUUUGAGGUUUUCCGUAGCUUCUAUCUCCAUGGUUUUCCACGACUGGGAUUAAGGUAGAUUCUUCCUGAGAGGAUUUCUCUUCAUUUCUGGAAGUUAUCUGAGUGCAUUAACAAUUUAAGAUCACUUAAAGUUAAAUACUUGAAUUUGUUCAUAUCACAUAAGUAAUAUGAAUUCUAACUUCAAAUUGAUAUAAGAUUAGACUUGUAGUUAUAAUACUGUAGGGUGUUAAAGAAAAACUUAUUCUGACACUUGUUAAAACUAUAAGGAAGACUUUAUCAGAGCUAUUGUAAUCGAUGUCCUGAAUAUUGUAAUAGGUGGUCAAGAUUGGGUUCAACUCUGAAUACAGCAAAAGCAACAAGGUGUCUAUAGCCUAUGAGAAGAGUGAGGGGGUCAUGAAUGGAGAAUUGCUAAGAGGAGACAUCAAAGGUAGGGAAUUCUGGCUAAACAGUCUUAACAGGGUUCUUACUGAUAACAGGUCAGGGUGACCAGGUAUGAAGAGUGGAGGAUUCUCUCUAAAUUGACUUGGCAGGAUUUAAAAACUGGACUCAUGGAACAGGGAAAAAAGGAAUGAAGAAUUCUUGCUAAAACUGGAUUCAAAGAACAAGAAUCAAAGACAGGGUCCUAGGAUGAGGCCUGGUUCAAAAGAGGAUUCACAGGAGCUGCUAAAGUUUGGUCAAAAAGAGGGUUUAGGGACUCGUUUUUAAGUCUUUCUUCCCUUUCAGUGCCUAGAUUCAAGAUAAUCAAUAUAUUUUGAAACUGAGGGAAGAAGGGUUUGUUAGUUACAUCUCCUUUCAGAUUUCUCAGCUUGCUGAAAUAGAAGCUUUGUUUCCAGUCUCCAAUGCCCUGAAGGCCAUAAAAAGGAAAGUUCAAUUUUUUUGUUAUUUAAAAGCCACCUGCAUUUAUUAGCUUUCAAAGUUUCAGCCUUCAAAUGGAUUUUCGCUUGGGUAUUUUUUACUUCUGCAAGUUCAACUCCACAUUUAGGAUUUUAAAUUUUAAUUUAUCUGGCAUUUGAGUUGUUAUCAUUGAAAGAGUCUAUCUGAGAAACUAACUCACCACACAGUUGGAAACAGAAGUUUCUAUGUAUGUUUCAAUAGUGAAUUCUUUUUAUAUUUCCAGAAUAAUUGCUUAGUUGGUAAUAUUUGGGUUCUAAUUUUUCUUUCUUCUAAAUAGUAAAAAACGUUUUGACUUUUUAUCACAAAGGACAAACAUAAAUUAAUUUUGUUUGUCCUAGCCACAAUCAAGGAAAACAAUUUUGGCAAAAUUUCUUUCUUUUUUACUGCACAAAACAAUUUACAGAUUUGUUGCUAUUUCUAUCAAACUACCAAUGACAUUCUUCACAAAACUAAAGAAAAUUAUUUUGAAAUUCAUACAGAAUAAAAAAGAGCCUGAAUAGCAAAAGCAAGCCUAAGCAAAA